rnacentral:rRNA from 1 species
ACGGAAGGCAGCAGUAGGGAAUCUUCGGCAAUGGGGGCAACCCUGACCGAGCAACGCCGCGUGAGUGAAGAAGGUUUUCGGAUCGUAAAGCUCUGUUGUAAGAGAAGAACGUGUGUGAGAGUGGAAAGUUCACACAGUGACGGUAACUUACCAGAAAGGGACGGCUAACUACGUGCCAGCAGCCGCGGUAAUACGUAGGUCCCGAGCGUUGUCUGGAUCUAUUGGGCGUAAAGCGAGCGCAGGCGGUUUAAUAAGUCUGAAGUUAAAGGCAGUGGCUUAACCAUUGUUCGCUUUGGAAACUGUUAGACUUGAGUGCAGAAGGGGAGAGUGGAAUUCCAUGUGUAGCGGUGAAAUGCGUAGAUAUAUGGAGGAACACCGGUGGCGAAAGCGGCUCCCUGGUCUGUAACUGACGCUGAGGCUCGAAAGCGUGGGGAGCAAACAGGAUUAGAUACCCUGGUA